CAUAGGACGCGUGGGGAAGUCUCGAGGGUUCAGUUUGCCUAGCCUGACAACAACCGCCAAAGGCGAUUACUUCUCACCUGAUUGAGAUCUACAUGUGAUUGCUUACACCAUCAUCCAGUGCCGCCCGCCAUCCAGUCUCCAGUGAUUUUUUUUUCUUUUAAAUCAUAGACUGACCCAGCCUCCAUCAGGCAGCUAUGCAGUGUUCUACUAUACAUGUAGAAGUUUUUGCUCUUUCCUCCAGGAAUUCAGUCAUUCUCUAUUAAAAAGUACUCAUCAAUUGAUGUCAGAAAACGUUACACACAAAAACACCAUUAAUCAAUGGCUAGAUUAUGAACAACAGAAUAACAGGCCUACAUGUUGAAUGUAGAUUUACCGGUUGAAUGCAUGCGUCGAAUUUGAAGACAACAUAGUGAAAAAGAAGGGAAAGGAAAGAAGGAAGAGGAUAGAAGAAGAUAAAAUAAAGACAAAGUGUGCACGAGAAUGGUAGCGAAUGAGUCCUGUGUAGUCUCAAAAAGGUCAUUAGAGUCAUCCAGC
rnacentral:sRNA from 1 species